UACGUAGGGGGCUAGCGUUGUCCGGAUUUAUUGGGCGUAAAGAGCGUGUAGGCGGCCAGGUAGGUCUGGUGUGAAAACUCGAGGCUUAACCUCGAGAUGUCAUCGGAAACCAUUUGGCUAGAGUCCGGAAGAGGAGAGUGGAAUUCCUGGUGUAGCGGUGAAAUGCGCAGAUAUCAGGAAGAACACCAAUGGCGAAAGCAGCUCUCUGGGACGGUACUGACGCUGAGACGCGAAAGCGUGAGGAGCGAACAGG
rnacentral:rRNA from 1 species